UGGAGUGUGUCACAUGCUCCCAACUGAAGUGAUUUGCAGAGACGUUGUCCCUUUAAGAAGGAAAGAGCACCAUCUGUCCUCACAGAUCGGAAAGACAACAUCAACAUUUUUUUGUCGUAUGCAGACUCGCCUUUGCAUAAAUUAUGUUCAUAACGUAGUGCUUAACGAGCAAUGUUUAUCGAAGCUGGUGGCUUUUUAAUUACAAAGGAAGCAUCGGCAAGACAAUUUCCUUAAGAGUUUGGGAGCGCCAAACGUUUCCAUAACAAUGGUGAAAGCUGUGAAGAAAAAAAUAAAAUAUUUCUCAAGGCCUAUCUUUUUUUAAAAAAUCGCUGCAAAUAUUCCUUCGUUAAUCAAUAGACUUUCCGUUCGUCUUAAAUUGAAAAAAAAUCUCGACUUUUUUUCUUGUAACUUGCCUCAAAAGAAUUGUUGGCAAACAAGCUGGUGAAAAGCGAACAGUUUCCGGGCUACUUUCUGCAGCUGAAAGAUUAAAAACUAACGAGGGAGACUGCAAUCAUUUGGAUGGAACCAUACUCCAACCCAAUAUAGGCAAUUGAGAAAAAAAAUCUAAAGCUGGAGCUGUGGAUUGAAGGCAACUUCUGAGAACUGUUACUGGUAGCCAGGGUGAAAACUGUUUCUUGCUGUAACAGAUCUUCAACCAGAGUGAUGUACAAUGGAAACUGGCAGUCUGACAGAGCAGCGU